rnacentral:rRNA from 1 species
AGAUGGCGACCGGCGCACGGGGGAGUAACACGUAUCCAACCUGCCGAUAACUCGGGGAUAGCCUUUCGAAAGAAAGAUUAAUACCCGAUGGUAUAAUCAGACCGCAUGGUUUGAUUAUUAAAGAAUUUCGGUUAUCGAUGGGGAUGCGUUCCAUUAGGCAGUUGGUGAGGUAACGGCUCACCAAACCUUCGAUGGAUAGGGGUUCUGAGAGGAAGGUCCCCCACAUUGGAACUGAGACACGGUCCAA